rnacentral:rRNA from 1 species
UACAGAGACUGCGAGCGUUAUUCGGAUUCACUGGGCGUAAAGGGUGCGCAGGCGGCCAAGUGUGUUAGGCGUGAAAGCCCGGGGCUUAACCCCGGAAUUGCACCUAAAACUACAUGGCUAGAGUACUGGAGAGGGUAACGGAAUUCACGGUGUAGCAGUGAAAUGCGUAGAUAUCGUGAGGAACACCAGAGGCGAAGGCGGCUACCUGGACAAUUGCUGACGCUCAGGCACGAAAGCGUGGGGAGCAAAAGGG